UUGCUCAGAGAGAAUGGCCUUCCGAACCUUCAGCGACGACCGCGAACCAUGCUUCGGGAACCUUUGAAACAACAGAAGCUACGCGAAGCACACAAGCAAAGCUACAAGCCUAUAAAGAAGCAAUAACAAUACAUAAAAGGAAAGCACAGGGUUCUUUAGGUUAUAACAAACAUUAAGAGACUUGAACAGGUCGAUUCGGGGUUCGUAUGACCAAGACAUGGUCAUCCGAAGUUUAAUGUUGUUAUAUGGAGAUUUGCGGAUUAUUAUAAUUAGGCUUUGCAACUAUAAAACAUGUGUAAGCGCUAGCCUAGAAAAGAUAGGAAGGCUGCGCCGUUGACAUGUGGACCCCACAUGUCAACCUAAAGGACCAUGGUGGACCGGGUACAUAGAGACGGUUCACGGGUCGACGGAAGCGGACCCCAUGUGUCAACCGAGGCGAGUGGCCGACAAACGGACUCCACUAGACACCACGCGGGCUGCACACGUGGAAACCACGCGGCUACCGAGCGGGCACACUAACACGAACACUACACGGUCACCACCCGCGCACGCGAACAACUGCCGACACCGAUGCACGGGUACCGGGGCCGACAACCGCACAACGGGCACGGUGGCAACACCGAAAGGACAAGGGCGGACAGCGAAGGAGGGAUCCUUACCACCAUGCGACGUGGCAUGGGAACGACGACGACGAACGGGCGCGGCGGAGACGGCUCGGGGACGAUGGAGGAGAACGGCGAGGGAACGACUUCGGCGGCGAUCCUUGGAUGAAGACGAGACACG
rnacentral:lncRNA from 1 species